rnacentral:rRNA from 1 species
ACGAACGCUUGCGGCGCGCCUCACACAUGCAAGUCGAACGAGCGAGAGAGAGCUUGCUUUCUCGAGCGAGUGGCGAACGGGUGAGUAACGCGUGAGGAACCUGCCUCAAAGAGGGGGACAACAGUUGGAAACGACUGCUAAUACCGCAUAAGCCCACGGCUCGGCAUCGAGCAGGGGGAAAAGGAGCAAUCCGCUUUGAGAUGGCCUCGCGUCCGAUUAGCUAGUUGGUGGGGUAACGGCCCACCAAGGCGACGAUCGGUAGCCGGACUGAGAGGUUGAACGGCCACAGUGGGACUGAGACACGGCCCAGACUCCUACGGGAGGCAGCAGUGGGGAAUAUUGCACAAUGGGGGAAACCCUGAUGCAGCGACGCCGCGUGGAGGAAGAAGGUCUUCGGAUUGUAAACUCCUGUUGUUGGGGAAGAUAAUGACGGUACCCAACAAGGAAGUGACGGCUAACUACGUG